CCCAGAGCCCCACCACUGGGUGGGGGUGCAUGUCGGCCCGAUCGCGGUUCCCAGAACCCCCAAAUGGAGGCCAAAGCUGGAGGGUGAUAGGAAGAGAAUCGGCCAGGCGUGGAGGGGGCCCCCGGCGCCGCGCGCGGAUUGUUACCUUCUGUGACCCCCACAACCUGCUCCCGGAUGGGUGUUGGUAAGUGCCUCUGACUUUUGUUUCCACAAACAGGGAUACUGAGGCUAGUGCAGAACGGGGAGUGAAUACCUCUUUUUAAAAAAUGCCUUGGGGUGGGGGCUGGGGGUGUCAAGUCUAUGGUUCAAAUAGAGUUAAAAACUCAAAGGAAAAACAGCUCUGCUCUGUUCUGCUUCCCACAUCAGAGCAAUCUCCGCCCCCAGUCCAAUUCACUUCCCUGGGGCCACAUCAAGCCAGGUUUUUCCACCAGCCAAAAGACCUCCUCGGCCAAACAGUACUGGAUCUCCCAGACUGGCAACAACUUCUAUUUACCCACCCCUUUUUUCACUCCCCCCCUCUGGGCUGGAGGAUUGGUCCCUUUCUUCACUUUCCCAGGACCCCGUUGUACUCUUCCCGCUCUCCAGACAGAGGACAUAUUUCCCAGGAAGCCUGGGGAAACACCCAGUUCCUUAUUUUAGCUCCUGCCAGUGUGCUCUGAGAGGCUCACCCACCUUUACAGGAAUGGGUGUGUGAUCAAGCCCAGAACCCUGGGGAAAGAGGGAGCGCCACAUCAGCUGUUCUCUCUGGCCCCCCUAUAGCUGAACUCCCACAAAGCCGGACAGUAAGUUUUCCAUUCCCAUGCACACCCCUCACAACCUUUUAAGUUCACAGCUAUCGAUCUAGAACCCCACAUUCUUAGUUAGGGGCCCAACAUCUUAAUGAUCGGAAUUCUUCAUCUGGUUUCCACACCCCUAAGCACAGGGUUCUCCAGAAAGGGGGUGGGGGAAGGCAUGUCUGUGAAGGAAUAUGGAUUCAAUAGUUUAUUUCCUAUAUAGUGACAGCAAUGGGAGUAAAUACACAAGAUCUUUUUUAUUAAUUAAUAAAACAAAAAAGAUGAAAAACAGAAGCAACAAAAUGAAGACCAUACUGCUCAUGAUACAUCAGCCACAUGGUCAGAAAACCAAUUUCUAAAGAGCGACAGCUGCUGGUGUCAUGGAGUUUUAUUGCAUUCAACAGGGGAAAGGUAGACGGCUGGAAUGAAAAAGAUCAGCGGGCCCCUGAUGGGAAGAUAUUAUAAGGGCUCUAAUCCUUAACUGUGGAUUCCUCUUGUUACUUCCUUUGGAGAAGAUGGAGGGGAGAGAGGAAUUCUCCUUUAUGACUGUAGGACUUCUUGUGAGACAAAUCAGUCCAGCUAUAUACAGUGCAAAGAAUCCUUGCAUCCCCACAGGCCAGUUGCUAGUGCCCAUCUUUAUGUUAAAAAAAAAGUGUGGAAGCCAUAAAGGGGAUCGAGUGGAGAGUAGCAAGAAUGGUUGCCUUAGCCCCAAAGGCAUCAGGGGAUGGGGAGGACACUAUCUGGGUCAUCAGAGUCCUCUACAUUCUGAGACUAUCACAUGUCAUUUCAACUCUUUGGAGGGGGCUGGGUGAUUUGAGUCCUGGCUCUGACUCCUCUCUGGGGGUGGAGAGUGAAGAUGACAAAGAAGUCCAUCUGUCCCUUGGGAGACACAGUAGCAGUAUGAGACAGAAAAGAACAGAAUAACAAAUCCAACUGGAGAAAGGAUUUGAGAAGGGACUGAGAAGGAAGUAUGCUAGGUGCACACCUCCAAGGAGUAGAGCAGGUUCCCACACUUGAGUCCUUCAUCCUCUUGAAGUGACCAGGAUUGACCCAGGCAGAGAUAUUCCCUUCUGGUGGGAAUAAAACCUCAGGGAUGGCUAGACAUGAAGAGAGGAAAUUUAGCACUGGGAAUGAACCUUUUACCCUGGCCCAUCAUUCCAGCCUCCAAAACUGCCCACACCCCCCACUGAAGGGUUCCAGCCCCAGGAGGGGUGUGGGGUCCUGGUGAAGAGCAGUAGCAGUCCAAUGUCUUCACCCCGGCUUGAACACUUUCGCCAGCUCUGGGCUCUUGUACCCAGAAGUACAGGGGUGGGGGUUGGAAAUAGGAUGAGGAAAGAGACUGGAGAGGAGUCAAUUCUUGACAGACACCUUUUCCAAUUCCCUGCAUAAUUUCAAGUGUCCUUGUGGGUCCCACCUCUGUGAGGUGCCAGCCGGCUCGCCACUCCCCACCCCAUUAGUGUGUAAGAUGGGCAUAUCCCAUCACAUGUGUGUAUGCCAGCACCCACAACUGUAGUAUCUUGAAAGUCCUCCAUCCCAGGGCCUACUGGGAAGGAAGCAUGCUACAGUAAGUUCUAUAAAGUUAUCAGCAAAAUUCAGACACUCUUAGUUCAUCCCACACAGUAAAGUGCAUCCAAAGUAGUUGCUUGAGCCAGGUCCAUCUGUCCAGUCAGGUCCUGAAGUUGGCAAGUAACCCCCUUCCCCCAUCUCCUCCUAUGUUCUAGAAAUAACAGGACAUUUACAAAGAUCAAGGCACUUGGGAGUGAGUCAACAGUAACACUCUAAUGAAGCAAGCAGAAUGGUUGGAGGGGAGGGAGAAAAGGAAGAAAACUGGACAGUGGGAGAUAGGAUAGUGUAUUUCUGAGGGUCAGGAAGAGCCUACUCAACAAGAUGGAGUUAUCUGGAUGCAAGGAGCCUGUAGCUGGAAUUUAACAAAGGAGGAAAAGAAGAAGUAGUGAUCAGCAUAUCCACAAUUCACCCAAGCCUCUCAGAACCCUGCCACCUUGAAGAUAAAGCAGCAGUCAGCAUGGAGUCAGGCAGUCUCUUAGGCAAAGAUGUUGGUAAUAAAAUCCAGGAAUCGCUUAGCAUACUGCUCAGGAUGCACAGUAGAGAUCUCUGCCCCAGCCUGUGAGAGGAGGUAUGGAACACGGUGUCAGGCCACUGCCCCACCCUUCCCACUCUCCACCCUCCAUUCCACUCCACACCACUUCCAUCCCCAACCCUUUGUCCUUUUGCCACCCCAUUUCUCUGGCACAAAUGGCCCCCUGUUCCCAAAGAGUCAAAAGAUAGGAAAGGAAAGGUUUUGCGGAACCCUUACCCCAUGCUUGACAGUUUUGGCUGCAUGAGCUGCUUUCUUCUUGGCAUCAUACUGUGUCAGGAUGUCGAUGAGACCCAUGAAAUACACCUCCUUCUGGGGGGCCCCUGGGGAAAGAAACCAGCAAUGAAGAGCAAGUACAGUCCCAAUUCCCUCUCCCCAAGAUCCAGUCAGAUCUGUUUUGAAAAGCUAACCAGCCUCUCUCCCACCACCCUGGUCUCAGUCCCCCAAGGCCAACUCCCCCCCCACCACCAACACCCUUAAUAUUUCCAGGAUCUCUCUCACCCUCAGCACUCCGGAUGGCGUAGACGUCAAUGAAGGACUCAAACUCUCCAGGGCCCAGGGGCCGAUGAGAAUGGAUGUAGCCGCCGAUACCCUCAGGGGAGGUGCCAUAGGAGCCCACCAGAGCGGGUGGUCCUGUCAGGCCACAGUCCCCAUCCCCCUCUGACUCCUCCUCCCGCACAGGCCCCUCCUCCUCUGGGUCAGAGCCCCGAAUGAUGUCGUGGAUGCCCAGCAGAAGGCUGUAGUCCAUGAUCUUCAGCUGCACUAGGAACUGAGACCCCACUGACAAGUCAGAUACCUCAGAUCUCCUUCCCCACUCCCAGCAAAAAGAGCUGCCUGACUACAAGAACCCAGAGUGGGAGGUAGAGGGUAAACAUUUCGCUCUUAAAGUUCGUCAUCUCCAUCCUUCGCCAAACCUUCCACAUGGGAUAGCCCAUGCCAGUGAGAUAGCAGCUGCUCCCACUGCCCAUUCCAAACAUUUAAUCCCUGGGUCGGCACCAGCUCACACCUCGUCCUUUUGGUGGUUUAAGGUAAGAAUAAAUAGCUGAUGACCCCUACCUCUAUCCUAAGGAAAUCCCUUUGUCUGCCCUCCCUCAUCCCUCACCCUAUCACCUAAUAGCAGUAUCACCUUUUCCUUAUCGCUGGCUUCUCGGGAUACAAGGGAGCCCUGUGGAGAGACCCAAAGACCAAGUCAGCAGAAGUGACUAAAAGAAUAGUUAGGAUCCAGCUCCUAAGAUGGGUACUCAAACCCAUAGUCUUCUUUCCUUUGAAAUGAACACUCUAAGUGCCCUCCCAGGCCCUUCCCCACUCUCAGGCCAUCAGGAGCCUCUCCCUCAGCCCUAACUAUCCUUUUCUUACCUUGAG